GCGCAGCCGUUUUCUUGCUGAGGCGGACACGGAUUUAAACCUUUUCUUACCCGGGAAUGUAUUGCUCAACGUUAGAUAUUUCCAUUAUCCCGAGGGGGAAAUUUUCCGGAUAGGUUCCGAUGGCACUUCUCAAGCUAGCCUAUCGACAAGUUAAGGGAACAACUACUGUAGCUUCAACGGGUUCACUGGUCAACGGUUUCACUGGUUAAAUUACGAGUUUAUUUCAGUGUGAUUUCCCUGAUAUCGUCAUAUCAACCGAUCUGUAUGCCCUCGAUUCAAUGAAUCAGCUAUCGCGAAAGCCCCCUCACGCCAGUUUUGUUAAAAAAGACUAAGCCUGUGUUCUCGUGCAUUUCGCUUGAGAGAAAUAGCCCUUCUGAGUAGUGCCUUAAACGCACGUUUAAGGUAUGCCCUUUACGUUAGUACCUUUGCUUUGAAAACCAAUGGAAACCCCUUCGGGAAGAGCUAUAACAACACUUGCCUAUUUUCCAAAUAAUGCCUAUUUUUUAAGAAAGUACAUUUGAGAAAUAAUAAAAUAAAUAUAAUC
rnacentral:lncRNA from 1 species